AUAAGAAUGUCUUAGCUUAGCCUUUUAUAUAUUUUUUCUUUGAUGGGGAAUGCAUGCAGUUUUAGAGCCAGGUAUAAAAUUAGAUUUCUUUUAAUAUUUUAAUAAUUCUGUAAUUGACCAAUAUAUAGAGAACAUAGACUCUACGUCAAAAGCCAUAGCCAUUCUAACAAUACAGCACUACUCACAACAACUAACAAGUAAAUUAAGUGAAUUAAAGCAGAGAUUUUCUUCUGGAGUAAAUUUAUAAAUUGAAGAUAAGCAUGUGCUAAAACUUAUUAUCCUGUCUUCUGCACAACAAACUCCUGCAAAGUUUACAUCUUUCGAAAACUGUUUUCAUUUACAAUAAUUGCUGUUAUUCAUUAAUCUAAUUACAUUCUACCAUCACACAACUGACUGGACUUCCUAGAUCAGAAACAACUCUAUGCAAACAGCCCUUGGUACUGGCUUUACAAACAUAACUUUAUGUCAGUAUCUUCUUUGUCCACUAAAUAGAAUAAGUAAGCUUUCAGAAAGUGAGUGAAAGUUUUCCAAAAGAACAUCAACAUGUUUUUUUCUUCCCAGUGUUGUUCUUCGGUAUUUGCUCAAUUCGAGAAUUUAAAAGUUGAGACCAAAUUCUAGGUCAUGUCCCCUUGAAGUUGAUUUAUUUUUCCUGUAUUGUUUGAAGAUGAAGACAGUGGAUUUUCUCCAUUGCACUGAAUAGUAAUAAUUUCUGCUGAUAAAUAGAAAUAGAAAAGGAUUUACACAUUCUGAGCUAAUCUAAAAAUUUAAAUAGUAAAUCUCCUUUCCGCUUGGAAAAGCUGAAUAGAUUAGAUUCACAUGUACUUAGAUUUUGAUCAGAGUCCUUCAGCCUUUUCCUGGUAUUAUAAAGCACUCAGAUAAAGUGAAAUAAGCAAUUUAAAAAGCUGAAUAUAUCUUCAAUUUCAGAAAGUUCCACAUUUAGACAGAAUUUUAAGCAGCUCCGUACCUUUCAUAUAAGCAAUGGUGAUAUGUGCAGUAGACACUAAAUUUCUUUCCCCUGUAGAACUGCAAGCAACUACUUAAAAUUCUUUCCCCUUCUUUCUCCUGUCCUAAGUGUCAAUACUGACACCCAUUCUCAGAUUGAAAUUUACGCACUAGUUUUUCCUUCUGCCUUACAACAAAUUUAUUCACAAACAGACAGAAGCAGAUUUUUGGACAUUUGGAGUCAAAUUUGAGAAUUGUACAAAUUCAACUUUCUGCUCCUGUCCGCUACUUUCAAUGUGUUUUCAUAAAUGGACCUAACGGAUUUGGACUGCAGCUUCCUACCAACCCCUCCUCAGACAAGGAAGAAAAGAGUCACUCAAAGAUUUCCAAGAGAAAGACAAGGAAACCAGGGCAGUAGAGAGACUGAGUCCUGUGAUUGCUCGCAUUUUGCACAUUAUCUUUUCUGCUGAGGUCCACAGUAGUCACAGUGGUACUUGUCAUUGCAAGAAUGUGAUCCACUUGGCACAUGUACCUGGAAAAGUUUCCAUGAGACACAGGCAAAGCAAACAGUAAUAAGCUGUGUUUGACAAAGGUAGAGAAGUAAAAGCACCCCAUUUCUCAUGUGGAAAGGCUGCUAACAAAGCAUUGGCCUGAUUGUGUGUGUGAGCGUGUGUGUGAUUUCCUGCCUCUUUUGCUCCUCCUUUUUUUCUUUACCUGCUCAGCAUUAAAGUCAGUCUGUUUUUCAUUUAUUCUUAACUAGGGAGUGAGAGGUUGAACAUAGCUUUUAUAUCAGCAAGAUUGCAAGACUACCUGCAAUUCUAAAUCACUUCUUCGUAAAGUUCAAUCAAAUUGCUGACAGGAGAAAGCCUCACUAAAUCAUGAAAAUGUGCCCUGCAACUGGUGCUAUUUUUAUGUCUCAUUGACCAGUGUGGUUUGAAGUUCACAAUUGCUAUCAGCAGCUCAGCAUACUACCAGUAAGUUGAUUCUUCAAGUCAUGCUAAUGAUGAAUAUUUCUGUUUAGCCUGAAGCAGUUAAAGACACUGUGUGUUUGACCUGCCUGCUGGCAAAAUACAAAUAGUUCACGUUAUAAAGCCCAAAUUGAGAAGAGAAAGUAAAACAACAUGGCAAAGGUGAGAAAAAUCGAUGUUUUAUCAACAUGAAGAUCCCAAGAAACAAGCAAAACAAAACAAAAAUUUUUCCUGUGGGCAAAUCCGAUCAAUUUGCAGCAAAAACCAUGAAAAUUGAGAAUAUACCAGCCAAUCAUUUGCUAUUAGCAUAAGAUGAAAAGCUGUGAUGUAUGAUGCUGGUCACAACAUGAAACCAAUCCAAAUACCCAGUGGUAUACAUGCCAGUUUGUUACAGUGUAAACUGCUAUGCGUUUUCUCAAGCGUCUGUAUGUUUGCAUUUAAUAUGAAAGGUACGGCAGUGAUCUUAGAGACAUAGCUACCAGCUGAAGGAGUAUGAUGCUCAUUGUACAACUGGAUACUUGCAGAAUCUGAUCACACCUGUAACAAUCCAUUGCUCUAUUUUCUGCGUAAUUCUAGGCAAUAUCACUGCUUUACCCCAUUCUCUCUGCCUGCCAACCCAUUCAUAUCCAAAUUAAAUAAUUGACUCACAUGUGUUUCAGACAACUGAAUCUCUGACAAACUCAUGCAAUUCAGAUCGCUUUGUUGUUGCGCAGCUGAGUCAAGUUGACACUGAUUAUUGAUCAUGGCCUCAUGUAGACUGAGAUGCAGUCCCAUAUUGUAUAUGUCCUUUGCUGUAAAAUCUGUGAUUGCAACAAGCAGCUUAGACAGUGGUUUCUGAAAAGAGGUAGGAACAUUCUCUAUGAGUAGCUCUUCCCACACUGGAGCACAUGGCAGACAAAAAAGUUCAGGCCUCCGCUGUUACCUGUGAAAUCAGUUUUGCAGAUGUACAGGGAUAUAGAGCUGUUGGCAGAGAAUAUUUCAUGAUAAAAUGUCACUUGUUAAUUUUCUUUCAGUAGGCCUUUUUAUAUUUCCAGUGUUGCUUUGUUUUGGUGUUUUUUUCCCCCAGUUUAUGAUUAUGUGUAUAAUACUAUGGAUGUUAGUGCCCUCGGCUUUUAUUGUGAAAGCUGUCUUAAAAUAAGACUAUAACUUUCCAGAAAUCAUUUAAUUUAGUUUAGGACUUUAUCCAACUUCAAUAUUUUACUGCACUAUAAGCCUUCAUUCUUUUCAACUUCUUUUACCACAUUCAAUUCCAUACACUAUGAUUAGCCAUAACACUUUUUCUCAUUUGAGUUGAGAGAUGGCAAGGUUAUGUUUCAUGUAUCAUUCCCAUAAUGUCUCAGCUAUACAUCUGAGUGCUCUGUAAACAGAAAUACUGAAUAUCACUGAAAAAGUAAUAUAAAAUAAGCUAUUUAUUUUUCUUCCCUAAUAUCAAUCUGAUUUCCUCUAAGAACAGAGGAAACGUUUGCGCUCCCAAAAUGGCAAGCAUUUUUCUCUUUAAAUUCAACUGGAACCUUAAAAAGUAUUAUGUGAAUUGCAUGGCUUUAGUCAAAUUAGCCUGAAGUAUUUCAAAAUCAUAUGCUGAUUGUUAUCUGUUUUGAGAAAUAAAGAAUAUGUACUCUGUUUCUGUGACUCUAAGAUUGUUUUUGUGAAUGCAAAAGUGGAAGGUAAGGGUUCAUGUAUGUAAACUUUUUAUCCCUAAGUAAUUACAAAUCCUAUAAAUAUGAAGAUGGCAUUUCUUACAGCUAAUUCUGGAAAAUGAAUUGUUGUGCAUUUUAUUCAUCCCAAUGGGCUUUUUGCAAUACUUAUCUUAACUAGUCUUUCCACACACGUUUUUUAUGGAUUACAGUCUGACAGUUAAGUUGCAAAUUGUUUGCAGCCAUUCAAGACAGAGCUUCAUUUGGUAUCAACCUAUGUUCAUCAAGAUACUUAUUUAAACUAUUAUUGUAAAACUAGAAAAAAAGAAAGAAAAAGAAAAAGAAAAAGAAAAAGAAAAAGAAAAAAAAAAAGAAAAAGAAAAAGAAAAAGAAAAAGAAAAAGAAAAAGAAAAAGAAAAAAGAAAGAAGAAGAAAAAGAAAAAGAAAAAGAAAAAGAAAAAGAAAAAGAAAAAGAAAAAGAAAAAGAAAAAGAAAAAGAAAAAGAAAGAAAAAGAAAAAGAAAAAGAAAAAGAAAAAGAAAAAGAAAAAGAAAGAGAAAAAGAAAAAAGGAAGGAAGAAAGGAAGAAAAAUGCUUUCUUCUGUAACUCAUCUCAGGUCAAGAUGAUCUUGAUGACCAAGAAACAGAGAGGCAAAAAAUUGAGAUAUUUUUUAACACUGUAAGAACUAUGGCUUGUCUAUACUAGCAAUUGCUAAAACCUAGGAGGUGAUGCAAGAGGCAGACUAUGGCCUGAAGGCAGCAUGACUAACUGCACAUCCAGGUUUGAAGCCUCUCUGCCCUAUGGAGUUUGGUGAGUCUUUGCACACAGGAGGUUUAUGCAGGUUAAUCAACACUUCAUGAGAUGAAACUCCUCUCCCAGUUCACCUUUCCCUGAGAUGCUAAAAUUCUGCUGAAGUAAACAGGAACAGCAAGGCUUCAUCAUGGCUUGCAGAAGCCCAGUAGAUACAUUUUACAUUGCUCAGCCAACAGCAAGGUGCCCACCCCAGAGCUGCCUGCUCCUGGUAGUGCUGUUCACUUAUCUCAUCUUCAACCCUCUGACCACAUUCAGUGUUUUACACUCUUACCUCUGUCGCAGCUGGAGUCUGAUUUCAGCCUUUUACAGCUUCUAGAGUUAGUUAAUUCUCGUCCCCUUUCCAGCAAUCUGUGGGUUUUCACAGUGGUUCAUUUCUAAUUGAUCAGGGAGGGGUGGUUGAGACUCUGGAAAAGGGGGAGGAAACGUUUUGUCUGAAUGUUUGCCUUUCUGUUUCCUACAACCCAAUUAUUAAUGACAUUUUUUGUUUUAAUUGGCAAUAAAGUUAACUUUCGCAAAACUAUGCCUGCUUUGUUCAUGGUGGUAAUUAGCAAGCAAGCUCCCUGAGCUCCUUCUAUCCAUGAACCUUCUCAUUUCUGUUCUUCCAAUUUUCUUCCCCUAUUCUGCUGAGGCAGUUAGCAAACAUCUAGGUAGGAGUUUGGCUGUUAGCAAAAGGUAGCACACCACAGCUGGUUGUUACACAAAUCUAUACACAUCCUACUCCUACUUAUUAUGCAGAAUGCCAACAAGUUGCUAUUUGUUCCAUGUUUAGGUUUUCCACUUAGAACUCAAGACAGAACAUACUUAAUUUGUAUAUCACUGUGAAGAUUUCUCCUGUUGAUCCUAGAAAUACCCUAGCUUUCUCUCUACACUGCCACUUACAACUUAGUAUGGUCCAGCUUAGAUGCAAAAUUCCCUGCAGAAAUGUUAUAUGAAAUUUUGCUUUAAUGCAGCAGAAGAGAACAAAAGUGCAGUAAGCCCACUUGCAGGGGAUGUCUUUAUCUGCCAGAGCAUAAACACUCAGAAGAGCAACUAAGUCUCUUCACUUUCCUAUCUUACUUAAUGCUUUAUUAUCCACUCCAGCACCCCACUGUAUAAUCCAUUUGGUAGAAUGAGAAAUGAAUGAAAGUCUUUCUCCCUUAGAGAAAGCACUUGUUUAAGCUGCUUUGGGCUUCAGAUAGAGUCAACAGCUGACUGCUCACAGUUACAUACCACCACUAGUACUUCUUAACAAGGAUACAAGAUAUUGGAAGCCAAGAAAAAAAGAUAAAGGAAUGUGAGUACUAAUGGGAGAAGGAGAAUGUGAAAGUUUGAAGGGCUGAUACCUGAAAAAAAAAAAAAAGAGGAAAUGCCUUGUGAGAAUUCCCACAAAUGAACCUCCUAUGGUUAUGAAUAUUCAUAAAAGAAGAAUAAUAUAUUGGAGAUGAAUCUAUUUCUCCUAUCUUGUAGUUUUCCAGAAGUAAGAAACAGAAAGGUAAAUUAAAAUAUGAUUUAUAUAUUAUUUAUAUGACUGAAAAGGUCAGAUAUCCAGCUUUCAUAUCACCCAUUUGUCCUGACUAAAGUUCUCCAAAAAUUCCCAAUUAACCAAAGAGAUAAGGAAUCAUAUUAUUUACUUGUGAGCAAAGCAUCCCUGUGCAGAGUGUGCUUCUUAAUGUAGGAGCCUUUGUCUUUUAAUUAAAAAAUGAAGGAACAUGAUCCUUUGUGCUUGUUGUCUUGGUUUAUGGAAUUUUUUGUGUGUUCCUUGUUUGUAAUACAUCCUCCACACAACAAAAAUAUUUUCUUCUGUACCCGUGUCUCAAAGAUUGUAUUAGUUAUUGCUGUAAAUACUUCUCAGGAGUUUUGUCCACUGUUUUGUCUAUUAUUAAAACAGAAAUUAGUAAAAUUAUUAGAACAUGAUUUUAAUUUACUUGGUCCAAAAUCCCAGAAAUUUAAAUAAUUCAGUGAUGUGUUCAUUGUGCAUGCAGGGAAAGGAGGUUCUGUUUUACCAAUACACACAGAUAAAAUUUGUUUACAGCUCUGAGCCUGCUACUUUGUAUAGAUUGCUUAUUCUCAAAGGGAGAAAUACAUCCUUGUUUAGAUGACCACUGUGACUCCUAUGUUCUCUUUUUGUUCUUGCUCUCCGUUAAGAAAAUCCCAAGUAGUCUCAUUUUCUAGAACUGAAAGGAUAUUUUUAUACAAGAUACUUUUCAUUUUUAUAAGUUUUCUCAUUUAUUUUGAGGUCAAAUUUACUCAGAAAUACAGUUGUUCUCCUAUCUACUGCAUGGUAAGUUCUAGCUUGGAGAAAAAGCAGUAAUUGUCUGAAAUCAAAUCACCAAAGAGAAAAAUUGUAAUUAUUGCAAAAGUUAGACAGAAACACUUCAGCAACUUCUUUAUUCCACUGUGGGGCACUACAGUAUGAAGGUUUUCUUUUUUAGGACCUCUUAAGGAAAUGGGAAAAGAAAGUUGCUGACAUUAACAAUCAAACACACUUUCUAGCUACAAGAUAGAAAUAUAAAUGAUAGUGCAACCCACCUUCCUUGCUUUUUUUUCUUUCAGAAGCAAUGCAAAGAGGGAGCCUUGAGUACCAUGCUGUUAAAUUACAGCCUAGCUGUAGCAUUUCAAUGAAUAAGAAGGCAACAUGGUGACAACUUCAUGAGAAUGUUCCAUAUGCCUCACUAAGUAUUGUGUCUUCCAA
ensembl:lncRNA